UACGGAGGAUGCAAGCGUUGUCCGGAAUCAUUGGGCGUAAAGGGUCCUGAGGUGGUUUGCUCAGUCCACUGUGAAAGUUCAGGGCUUACCCUUGAAAAUGCGGUGGAAACUAGUAGGCUAGAGUACGGUGGGGGCAGAGGGAAUUCCCGAUGUAGCGGUGAAAUGCAUAGAUAUCGGGAAGAACACCGAUGGCGAAGGCACUCUGCUGGGCCGACACUGACGCUGAAAGACGAAAGCCAGGGGAGCGAAUGGG
rnacentral:rRNA from 1 species